GAACUGUGAUAAGUAACGUGAAUCGCAGAACUCCGUGAAUCGUCGAAUCUUUGAACGCAUCUGGCGAUUUGUAGAAAUACAGAUCACAUUUCAUUCAGUGUAGUCUAUAAACCCAAUUUUUUCUUUUUCUUCGAAAGAAAAAGAAAAUACAAUGAUGGUUUCAAAUUUUUUUUUGAAUCCAUUCAAAAGAUUAUCUAAAAUCAAUUGCUCUAUUUCAUAAGAAUAAUUGGAUAGUUUUCGUAAAAGAAAUCACUUGAAAAUUGUUUGUAUGAAAAAGAGUACUACUCUACUAAACCUACCUGAAUGAAGUGAGAAUACCCGCUGAACUUAA
rnacentral:misc_RNA from 1 species